ACCACGAGGGCCACGGCGGAAGAUGUGCCGAGGAAGCCACGGCGAAACGCGGCACCACGUGGGGCCUCCAGACAGUCAUGAUGGGACUGUGCCAUCGUGGUUUCAUCGGGACACCGAGUGUGGGGAGAGGUGUAGCGCCAGGGAGGAGAGCUGCUUUACCUUCCGCAGAUCAGACGUCUUCAUUCCGUCUGAAGCUCCCACCAACGUUCACAUGGAGAAAAAAAAAAAAAAAAAAGACCAAUCCAUCCAAAAAUCCGCCUUCUCAAAAAGCUUUCUAAUAACCCGGUGGAGCUAAGUUUGCAAACUAUCGCGGUAUUCUCGGAUUAAUCCACCUGCUGUUAGAAUGGAUUUGCAAAGCCGCCUUUUUUUUUUUUUUGCUAUUUACCUGGAUUUCCUGGAUUUCCACGAGGUCAUGAACAAAGUUCAGCGUCACGUGACUUUUAAACUCCAUAUACGAGGUCAAGUUUUUAUUUAAUUUUUUUUUUAACAGGAGGGUAUUAAAGAUAUGAUUGCAUUUAAGCAUGCAUUAAUGUAUGUAUUCAUUUAUUUAUUUGAUUUAUUUGUUGAAUGGAUUUGGGAAUCAUGUAUGUGGCAACUACAGCGCUUCACCGGUGCGUCUGCUCAGUUCAGCCAAAAGAGCAAGAAGCAAACCUGGCACAGGUAAACUGCCGCAGCCCCCUUUUGACUUUUGAUUCCGUGGAGCGGGACAGAGAUGCUCAACAUCUGAAAAUGUGUAAAAAGUGGAGAUUACACACAAAACGAAGUCGCGCGAUUCUGUGCGCCAAAGUGAUUCAAAUGAUCUCAAAUCUACCUCUCCGGGUGUGUAUGAGGGGAGCCUGGGUGUGUUCAGUCAGUGUAGCUGAUGCAGGCCCUGUUGUGGGAGUCCACCGCGGAGCAGCACCCUGGAAGGUGGGGGACUGGGGGGGGGGGGGGGGGGUGCUGCUGCUGACAUGGAGCCCUGGCACCACAUAACAGGGCAUGUUCGCUUAUCCCCCCUUCCUUUUCUGCAAAUCGACAGGAGAUGCAACCCGGGAGAAGUGCUAUAAAACAAACUCUUGCUCUCAAAGGUGUGCGCGGCUUUGUACCGGUGCGUUUUGCCUGUUAGCUGCACAUCCUCUGUCUUUUCAUCUGUCAGUUAUUCCCCCUCAUGUUUUGCCAUUUGCUCUGUAUAUCCAUUUGUCGCCUGGUAUUUUUUUUUUUUUUUUCAAUGCCUGCACACACCCGCGGUUGUAAUUAAAUUUCUCCCUCAUAUGCGACAAAGGCAAAGACGCUUUUUUCUUUCUUUUUUUUCGUUCUGAGAUGUGUUUGAUUACAGAUGUGAUGUUGAGAGAAUCUGUGCAGCUCCUGCAGACCUCUGAGAGCAAGGCGGGGAUGUGAGCGCUCGGUAGCCACGGCAGAUUGGAUGAAAAUGAAGUGGAAGCACGUGCUAAAAGGGGCCUCGGAAGAGGGUCUGGAAGUCAGCUUGACUGCUGAAUCAGUGCCUGGAGCUCACUGUCCUUCUCCCAUCCGGGCUGCAAUAGGCCCGCGAGGGACUCUUGAAAGAUCAUCCAGGCAAUAUUAUACCAGAAAUCUUUCUGCUGAAUUCCUGACUUUUAUUUUGUUAAUUUCCCGCGUUUUGUCUGUCUUUUAUUUCUCGUUUUUUUUUUUGCUAUCACGGUUGGUUAUCGGCCUCAGCGAAACCACUUUGUGCAACCAAGUCGCCGUGCUUCCCCUCGUAGCUCUCAGAACGAAAUGAGCAGCGCCCCCUACCGCCCGCCGGUGACCCUGCACAGUGGCGCUUGGACGCGGAGCUCACGGGCCCAGUGGUUAGUAAACAGUUUGUAAUCCCAUAGAGCCGUUUCACGCCGCUCUCGGGGAUCACUGGGGCGCAGUCACGAGCGUGAAUAUCCGCCGCUUUUCGUGUGAGUGAGUGCGGGUUUUCAGAGCACGCGUCCGUCCGCUUUUUUUUGGUGCACGGGGGGCACGAAGAUGGCCAAAAAAAUCUGACCGAAUCAGUGCGGACGGGAGCAGCCCGGGUGUAACGUGAUGGAUCACACCAGACAGUUCCGCCCAAAAACACACACGUUAAAGUCUGGAUUUAUUUUUGUUUUUGUUUGUUUGUUGGUUUGUUUAAUUUCUCGACGAGUUAUUCUGUGGCAAUACCCGCAAUCCUGCCCGACUCGUCCUCUCUGGCUCAUAUUCUACAUUUCUCCCCUCAUCCAAAUCAAAGCCCUCUGUGCUCUGUGCGGCUUGUCAAGC